rnacentral:rRNA from 1 species
AAAUUGAAGAGUUUGAUCAUGGCUCAGAUUGAACGCUGGCGGCAGGCCUAACACAUGCAAGUCGAACGGUAACAGGAAGCAGCUUGCUGCUUUGCUGACGAGUGGCGGACGGGUGAGUAAUGUCUGGGAAACUGCCUGAUGGAGGGGGAUAACUACUGGAAACGGUGGCUAAUACCGCAUAACGUCGCAAGACCAAAGAGGGGGACCUUCGGGCCUCUUGCCAUCAGAUGUGCCCAGAUGGGAUUAGCUUGUUGGUGAGGUAACGGCUCACCAAGGCGACGAUCCCUAGCUGGUCUGAGAGGAUGACCAGCCACACUGGAACUGAGACACGGUCCAGACUCCUACGGGAGGCAGCAGUGGGGAAUAUUGCACAAUGGGCGCAAGCCUGAUGCAGCCAUGCCGCGUGUAUGAAGAAGGCCU